AGUAGAAAAGCAGAUGAUAGAAAGGGGGAGCAGACUAAUACAAAUGGACUUUCGUGUCUGUGUCGCACUUGACUCCACGUGUCCGUCUAUAAUUAGAUAAUUGGGGAAUCUUGGAUGAUCAAAUUCAGCGAUCGUUUUGUGAGAAGAAGAAAAAGAAAUAUCAAAAAGGAAAAAAAUAAUAUACACACAGCCGUUUGAUACUGAUUUGUUUCUUGACCUAAUACCUUUAUAAGAAGACUUAAUUUUCCUUUAAUUGUUGUAGAGCUUUGACGUUUAAUUCAUAAUUGCAGUUGUUUUUGUUUUCAACAUUUGCAAGGGAAGUAGGAAAGAAGAGGGACUGCUAGUCCAAUAAGGGACUGGCUUAGCUUGUUCAAUCACGGCUCUAAAAAGAGAAAUACCUAUUAAGAUCAGACGGGGAAAAUCAUGUGCUCAACUGUUCCCUAAGUUUUUGAUUGCAUCCCCUACAUUUCACGGCGGUCGCGGUGCCCUCCCUUCAGCAGGUGGGCAUCCGGCCGAUCUUACUUUCCUUGCUGGCGGCGGGUGCUGAUACGUGUGUUUGCCAAAUUGGACCUUCCUUGACUUGGAGGGUGCUGGAAUAGCAGCUCAAAGUAUAUAUAUAUUUUUAAUUUAUUGGUAAUCAGGAAAACGCAUCUGUAUAAGCAUGGUUACAGUCAAGCCAAUUGAUGACAACAAUUUACUAUCCAAUUGUGCAACUGAGAAGUUGGGUUGUUCUCGUUUCUGUCCUCAAGGUAUCAAAAUCCCUUUAUACUGCUCUGGUACCCAAUAUCUCACCGCCAAUAGCCUGUCUGGGGGACUUCCAGACAUGUCUGAAGAACAAAGUCUAUUGGAUUCCCUUCUUCUUGCACAGUGGGAAGAGAGAAUGUGGAAAGGUCAUUUUAACUAUGAUGUAACCGCUUCUGAAAUUAAGGUUAUUAGGGGGAGACAGAAGUUUCUUGCUCAGUUAAGUGGUCAUUGGAGUAUGGAUAGUUUGCAAGACAAUGAGAAGCAUAAACUGUGCGCUCAAAAGCAUCUGCUUGUGUUUGACCGUACCAAGCACUGUGAGGAAUUACUCUUUUGCAUUACAAACAGAGAUAAGGCAGAAUCUGAGCUUGUUCCUUCAGCUUCCGUUCCUAAUGGUGCCUUAUUGAUUAUUGCAAAUGUAAACCCCAUUGAAUAUGGCCAUGUCUUCGUGGUUCCUCAUGGCGUCAACAGUCUCUACCAGGUCAUGGACGCAAGAUUCUUGGAAAUGGUUGCAAGGGUUGCUCUUGAGAUAAAUAAUUGUUCUUUCCAUAUGUUCUACGAUAGUCUUGGACAUACUGCUUCACAUCUAUAUUUCCAAGCAUGCUACUUUCCAGAACUUUUAGCGGUGGAGCAUAUGCCUGUUGAUACCUUGUUCAAAAAUGGACAUGGAGGAAUUUGUAUCUCUACUGUCUUGGAUUACCCCAUCAAAACCAUUGUUUUUGAGAGCAACUGCAAUUUAAAGAUACUGGUGGAGGUUCUUGCUGAGAUAUGUGCUCUAUUGGUGGAUAAGGGCAUCCUUUAUAACCUAAUGAUAUCUGAUCGAGGCAAAAAGAUCUUCUUGUUUCUUCAGGUCCAAACAUUGUCAACCUCUUUGGGCCUUACUGCAUGGGAGUGUGCGGGCUACUUUUUGUUCAGGUCUAGUCAGGAAUUUGAUGUAGUUACAGAGGCAGUCCUGCUUAAACGUCUAAGCACUGUCUCACUUGAUGAUGAAGGCUUUAUGGAAGUGAAACAGCUCUGUCGCAGUAUUGCAACUGAGUUUGCAACUUGAACUUUAUUCUCUACGCCUGCAUGGGGUGACAAAACCUUCCUAUAUGCAAUUGUAUGCUGUUGGUUAUCUUAAUGAAAUAAGAGUUAGGGUUCUGUUAAUGCUCUGUGGUUGGAAUUUGGUAAAAGAAAAAAAUAAAGUUUAUUCUAAAAUUUGUUCUUCAAAAGUUUGGGUCAAUUAGGUUGCAAAAAUGGAUGUUCAUGGGUUGGAGUUUUUCACCAUUUUGAUCUGUUCUAAUUGAAACUUGUUCUGAAAGAACUCUAAAUAGCAUUGUGUGGCUCCGAGCGGGGGUAAGUAACAAGUAGAAACAUCUUUUGGGAACUGAGGAAUGGUAUUAAUGUUAGGUUAACAAUUUUCAGUUUUUUAGGUAUUAUUUUUUAAAUCCUUGUAAUGGUAUUUGUUUUCUUCGGA